rnacentral:rRNA from 1 species
AUUGAACGCUGGCGGCAGGCCUAACACAUGCAAGUCGAACGGUAAUAGGAAGAAGCUUGCUUCUUUGCUGACGAGUGGCGGACGGGUGAGUAAUGUCUGGGAAACUGCCUGAUGGAGGGGGAUAACUACUGGAAACGGUAGCUAAUACCGCAUAACGUCGCAAGACCAAAGAGGGGGACCUUCGGGCCUCUUGCCAUCGGAUGUGCCCAGAGGGGUUUAGCUAGUAGGUGGGGUAACGGCUCACCUAGGCGACGAUCCCUAGCUGGUCUGAGAGGAUGACCAGCCACACUGGAACUGAGACACGGUCCAGACUCCUACGGGAGGCAGCAGUGGCGAAUAUUGCACAAUGGGCGCAAGCCUGAUGCAGCCAUGCAGCGUGUAUGAAGAAGGCCUUCGGGUUGUAAAGUACUUUCAGCGGGGAGGAAGGGAGUAAGGUUAAUACCUUUGCUCAUUGACGUUACCCGCAGAAGAAGCACCGGCUAACUACGUG